rnacentral:rRNA from 1 species
AUUGAACGCUGGCGGAAUGCUUUACACAUGCAAGUCGAACGGCAGCAUAGGUGCUUGCACCUGAUGGCGAGUGGCGAACGGGUGAGUAAUACAUCGGAACGUGCCCAGUCGUGGGGGAUAACGUAGCGAAAGUUACGCUAAUACCGCAUACGAUCUAAGGAUGAAAGCGGGGGACCGUAAGGCCUCGCGCGAUUGGAGCGGCCGAUGUCAGAUUAGGUAGUUGGUGAGGUAAAGGCUCACCAAGCCGACGAUCUGUAGCUGGUCUGAGAGGACGACCAGCCACACUGGGACUGGGACACGGCCCAGACUCCUACGGGAGGCAGCCGUGUGGAAUUUUGGACAAUGGACGCAAGUCUGAUCCAGCCAUUCCGCGUGCAGGACGAAGGCCUUCGGGUUGUAAACUGCUUUUGUACGGAACGAAAAUGCUCUUACUAAUACUAGGAGUCCAUGACGGUACCGUAAGAAUAAGCACCGGCUAACUACGUGCCAGCAGCCGCGGUAA